ACUCAAAGGAAUUGACGGGGACCCGCACAAGCAGCGGAGCAUGUGGUUUAAUUCGAAGCAACGCGAAGAACCUUACCAGGGCUUGACAUGCCCCUGACCGGUCUAGAGAUAGGCCUUUCUCUUCGGAGACAGGGGACACAGGUGGUGCAUGGUUGUCGUCAGCUCGUGUCGUGAGAUGUUGGGUUAAGUCCCGCAACGAGCGCAACCCUUGUCUUUAGUUGCUAACAGUAUGGCUGAGCACUCUAGAGAGACUGCCGAUGACAAAUCGGAGGAAGGUGGGGAUGACGUCAAAUCAUCAUGCCCUUUAUGUCCUGGGCUACACACGUGCUACAAUGGUCGGUACAACGAGUAGCUACUUAGCGAUAAGAUGCUAAUCUCUUAAAGCCGAUCCCAGUUCGGAUUGCAGGCUGCAACUCGCCUGCAUGAAGUCGGAGUUGCUAGUAAUCGCGAAUCAGAAUGUCGCGGUGAAUGCGUUCCCGGGUCUUGUACACACCGCCCGU
rnacentral:rRNA from 1 species